rnacentral:lncRNA from 1 species
CGAGAAGACAAGAUGGUGCUCGUUUAUACUUGGGCAUUUUUGUUUUAAAAUAACCGCUUAUUUUACGUUAUAGCGACUAGUUCGUUGUGGAAAUUAUAACUCAAUGGAAAGGGAGAGUGUUUAUUCACUGGAGAGGAAAAUACAUUCAGUUAUUGUGAUGUUAUUUGCUGUGAAAGACCGACCGAAAUUUCAAACUUCGUCGCUGUACUGGUUCAUAAAAAUUUCUACUCGCAAUUCGAGCGUGGAUAAAAAUACAACGCGCUUGAAUGAAAGAACAGCCUGUCUUAAUGAGUUAAUG